UUUUGAGGCGGGCGUGUCGGGCAGGUUUCGUGCCUGGCCGGAUUGUGUGAUUGACCGGUUUUCGACCCCGACACGUCCGCCACCUUG
rnacentral:antisense_RNA from 1 species